rnacentral:rRNA from 1 species
UUGAACGCUGGCGGCAGGCCUAACACCUGCCAGUCGAGCGGAUGAAGGGAGCUUGCUCCUGGAUUCAGCGGCGGACGGGUGAGUAAUGCCUAGGAAUCUGCCUGGUAGUGGGGGAUAACGUCCGGAAACGGGCGCUAAUACCGCAUACGUCCUGAGGGAGAAAGUGGGGGAUCUUCGGACCUCACGCUAUCAGAUGAGCCUAGGUCGGAUUAGCUAGUUGGUGGGGUAAAGGCCUACCAAGGCGACGAUCCGUAACUGGUCUGAGAGGAUGAUCAGUCACACUGGAACUGAGACACGGUCCAGACUCCUACGGGAGGCAGCAGUGGGGAAUAUUGGACAAUGGGCGAAAGCCUGAUCCAGCCAUGCCGCGUGUGUGAAGAAGGUCUUCGGAUUGUAAAGCACUUUAAGUUGGGAGGAAGGGCAGUAAGUUAAUACCUUGCUGUUUUGACGUUACCAACAGAAUAAGCACCGGCUAACUUCGUGC